rnacentral:rRNA from 1 species
UACGUAGGGCGCAAGCGUUAUCCGGAAUUAUUGGGCGUAAAGAGCUCGUAGGCGGCUUGUUGCGUCGUCCGUGAAAACCCGUGGCUCAACUGCGGGCUUGCGGUCGAUACGGGCAGGCUGGAGUUCGGUAGGGGAGACUGGAAUUCCUGGUGUAGCGGUGAAAUGACGCAGAUAUCAGGAGGAACACCGGUGGCGAAGGCGGGUCUCUGGGCCGAUACUGACGCUGAGGAGCGAAAGCGUGGGGAGCGAACAGG